AAUUCUAGCUAAACUAUCUCGCUUUACAAAACGGAAACUGAACCCUGAGUGCAGAAAUGAUUAGCUUAAGACCAUACUGCGAGUCCAGGUUUCAGUGGACGCCUCAGCCCCGCCACCACCUCCUGGACUACCCAGCAUCGCCGGAUUUGAGCCCUCCCCAAACCUAAACUCCCCUCUAGGAUCUUCCCCGCACUAUGCACUUCCCUGAGAACUAUUACUCCCGCUUCGCACACCGGUGUCAGGUCCCCAAUAAGCACGUAGGGGUUAUAGGGAAGCCAAGUGAAAUGACCAAUAAAUAUUUUAAUCACUGUUUAAAAAAUUAAAA